UACGGAGGGUGCAAGCGUUAAUCGGAAUUACUGGGCGUAUAGCGUGCGUAGGCGGCUUUUUAAGUCGGAUGUGAAAUCCCCGAGCUUAACUUGGGAAUUGCAUUCGAUACUGGGAAGCUAGAGUAUGGGAGAGGAUGGUAGAAUUCCAGGUGUAGCGGUGAAAUGCGUAGAGGUCUGGAGGAAUACCGAUGGCGAAGGCAGCCAUCUGGCCUAAUACUGACGCUGAGGUGCGAAAGCGUGGGUAGCAAACAGG
rnacentral:misc_RNA from 1 species